GUUUCUGUAGCUCAGCUGGAUAGAGCGCUCGCCUCCUAAGCGAGAGGUCGGGGGUCCGAAUCCCCCCAGGAACA
rnacentral:tRNA from 2 species